AUGAGAAUGCUGACAGGGAGCUAUGGCUUUAGCAAUGCUGCCUGUCACUCUUCUGUCU
ensembl:miRNA